rfam:Gallus gallus isolate RJF #256 breed Red Jungle fowl, inbred line TCD001 chromosome 1, whole genome shotgun sequence.
AAAAUGGCUUUUUUAGAAGCCAUUAUAUAUAUAGAAGCCAUUUAUA